AUUGAACGCUAGCGGGAUGCCUUACACAUGCAAGUCGAACGGAGUGGCGAACGGGUGAGUAAUGUAUCGGAACGUGCCCAGUAGCGGGGGAUAACUACGCGAAAGCGUAGCUAAUACCGCAUACUAUUGGAGCGGCCGAUAACGGAUGAGCUAGUUGGUGGGGUAACGGCCCACCAAGGCGACGAUCCGUAGCUGGUUUGAGAGGACGAUCAGCCACACUGGGACUGAGGCACGGCCCAGACUCCUACGCGAGGCAGCAGUGGGGAAUUUUGGACAAUGGGGGAAACCCUUAGCCAGCCCUCCCGCGUGUGGGAUAGAGGCCUUCGGGUUGGAAAGCACUUUUAUCAGAUAAGCGGUACCUGCAGAAUAAGCACCGGCUAACUACGUGCCAGCAGCCGCGGUAAUUC
rnacentral:rRNA from 1 species